rnacentral:rRNA from 1 species
UUGACGGGGAGCACCACAACGGGUGGAGCUUGUCGGUUUAAUUUGGAUUCAACGCCGGAAAUCUUACCGGGACCGACAGCAAUAUGAAGGCCAGGCUGAAGACUUUGCCGGAUUAGCUGAGAGGUGGUGCAUGGCCGUCGUCAGUUCGUACUGUGAAGCAUCCUGUUAAGUCAGGCAACGAGCGAGACCCACGCCCACAGUUGCCAGCGUACUCUCUGGAGUGACGGGUACACUGUGGGGACCGCCGCUGCUAAAGCGGAGGAAGGAAUGGGCAACGGUAGGUCAGUAUGCCCCGAAUAUCCCGGGCUACACGCGAGCUACAAUGGUUGGUACAAUGGGUAUCUACCCCGAAAGGGGACGGGAAUCUCCUAAAACCAAUCUUAGUUCGGAUUGAGGGCUGCAACUCGCCCUCAUGAAGCUGGAAUCCGUAGUAAUCGCGUUUCAACAGAACGCGGUGAAUACGUCCCUGCUCCUU